GCCGGGAAGGGGGCCGGGAUUUUCCCGAGCAGGCGGCUUUCUGGGCGCGGAAAGCCCCAGGCCCGGGUCCAGGGCGCCCGCGGCGGGAGGGCCGUGCUCUCAUGAGCCCUGGGAGCCAUCCGAGCGGCUUUCAACAGACCGGCGCCGGAGCCCCACCGCGCCCACGCCCCCUCCAUUAGACCGACCCUGGCGGAGAGUAACUGCAGCCUUCCUGUAGUUGCAGACGCCGUCAGGGCAACUCCUGCCAGGAAGGGCGGCGCCCGCCCGCCAGUGUCCCCCUCCCGUGUGCCAGGCCAGAAGCCGGCGACUGCCAGAAGUAUUUAUUUCAUGUCUAUGCACGUUCUGCCCAUGUUCACGUGCAUGCCUGGUGCUGGAGGAUCAGACGAAGGUGUUGGAUCUGGCGUUAAAGAGGGUUGUAAGCAACUAUGUAAGCUCCAGGAAUGGAACCUGGAUCUUCAGGAGAAACAUAAAGAGCUCUUAAAGAAUC
rnacentral:lncRNA from 1 species